rnacentral:rRNA from 1 species
GACGAACGCUGGCGGCGUGCUUAACACAUGCAAGUCGAACGGAAAGGCCCCCUUGUGGGGUACUCGAGUGGCGAACGGGUGAGUAACACGUGAGUAACCUACCCUUUACUUUGGGAUAACUUCAGGAAACUGGGGCUAAUACCGGAUAGGAGCUCCUGCUGCAUGGUGGGGGUUGGAAAGUUUCGGCGGUUGGGGAUGGACUCGCGGCUUAUCAGCUUGUUGGUGGGGUAGUGGCUCACCAAGGCUUUGACGGGUAGCCGGCCUGAGAGGGUGACCGGCCACAUUGGGGCUGAGAUACGGCCCAGACUCCUACGGGAGGCAGCAGUGGGGAAUAUUGCACAAUGGGCGGAAGCCUGAUGCAGCAACGCCGCGUGCGGGAUGACGGCCUUCGGGUUGUAAACCGCUUUCGCCUGUGACGAAGCGUGAGUGACGGUAAUGGGUAAAGAAGCACCGGCUAACUACGUG